rnacentral:rRNA from 1 species
UCCUACGGGAGGCAGCAGUGGGGAAUUUUGGACAAUGGGCGAAAGCCUGAUCCAGCAAUGCCGCGUGUGUGAAGAAGGCCUUCGGGUUGUAAAGCACUUUUGUCCGGAAAGAAAUGGCUCUGGUUAAUACCUGGGGUCGAUGACGGUACCGGAAGAAUAAGGACCGGCUAACUACGUGCCAGCAGCCGUGGUAAUACGUAGGGUCCAAGCGUUAAUCGGAAUUACUGGGCGUAAAGCGUGCGCAGGCGGUUGUGCAAGACCGAUGUGAAAUCCCCGAGCUUAACUUGGGAAUUGCAUUGGUGACUGCACGGCUAGAGUGUGUCAGAGGGGGGUAGAAUUCCACGUGUAGCAGUGAAAUGCGUAGAGAUGUGGAGGAAUACCGAUGGCGAAGGCAGCCCCCUGGGAUAACACUGACGCUCAUGCACGAAAGCGUGGGGAGCAAACAGGAUUAGAUACCCUGGUAGUCCACGCCCUAAACGAUGUCAACUAGUUGUUGGGGAUUCAUUUCCUUAGUAACGUAGCUAACGCGUGAAGUUGACCGCCUGGGGAGUACGGUCGCAAGAUUAAAACUCAAGAAAUU